ACUCCUUUAAACCCGGUCCUGUGAGGCCGGCAAGGGUUAGCGGGACUAAGCACGCAAAGACACCUCUUGCCGGCACUGAGUCGCAAGAGGUUUUUUCA
rfam:Dehalogenimonas formicexedens strain NSZ-14 chromosome, complete genome.